UCUCCGUUGGUGAACCAGCGGAGGGAUCAUUACUGGAAUCGCAAGAUCCCACAACCCUGUGAACCUACCGAAACGUUGCCUCGGCGGGUGCCCGGCCUCUGCGCCGGGCGCUGCGCCCGCCGGCGGCCCCCUACUCUGUCUCUGCAGCGUGGCAUCUCAGAGUCCCAGAAAACAAGUCAAAACUUUCAACAACGGAUCUCUUGGCUCUC
rnacentral:misc_RNA from 1 species